rnacentral:tRNA from 1 species
GCGGAAGUGGCGGAAUUGGCAGACGCGUAAGCCUCAGGAGCUUAUAGCCGAUUAUAAGGCUGUGUGGGUUCAAGUCCCACCUUCCGCACCA